CCUUCGGUAGCUCAGUUGGUAGAGCGGUGGACUGUAGAAGGUUUAAAACACAGAUAUCCAUAGGUCGCUGGUUCAAAUCCGGCCCGAAGGA